rnacentral:ncRNA from 1 species
GCGGCUCACUACGGGCGCCAAGUCCCAUUUGGGAGAACAAAACGAGAGCAGUGGUCCCUUCGGGGUCCUGUUCCUUUUGUUUUGUUCUUUCAAAUGUGACGAAGCUGAGAUUGUACCGUAAUUACUCGAUCAAGUUAAUGCUUGCGUGGGGAAAGUGCUGCCNNNNNNNN